AGUCUUGGUCUAGGAAGUAUUUUUCCCUAAGGUAAAGUUUCACUAAUCUAGGCUUUUGUAAAGUUUUAAGCAUAGAGUUUCAAAUAGCUAAUUAACUAUGUUGUUGGGGGAACUUGGUUAGGGUUUUUGAAAGGUUUUGAAGGAGUCAAAGCUUAUAGGAAGGUCCAAACCUUAAGCAAGAACACCAAAGAGUAUUGGCUAAGCGUAACUGGACUGAACGUUGGAGGGUGAAAACCUGCUGAGCGCUAAGGACUCCAAGUAAGGGCAAGGGCAAGGCAGAGCAGUGAGCGCUGGAGUCUUCCUUGCAAAUGUACAUGUGGACCGACCUUUUGGGAAGCCGUUUUAUUUUUGGAAAUGUUGUGUAAUUUUCCUAAACUAGGCUCACUCUACUCUUUAUAAAACAUGUUUGUAACUAAAUGUUAAG